AGGAAUAUUGGUCAAUGGGCGCGAGCCUGAACCAGCCAAGUAGCGUGAAGGAUGAAGGUCCUACGGAUUGUAAACUUCUUUUAUAAGGGAAUAAAGUCACCCACGUGUGGGUGUUUGUAUGUACCUUAUGAAUAAGCAUCGGCUAACUCCGUGCCAGCAGCCGCGGUAAUACGGAGGAUGCGAGCGUUAUCCGGAUUUAUUGGGUUUAAAGGGAGCGUAGACGGGCCGUUAAGUCAGCUGUGAAAGUUUGAGGCUCAACCUUAAAAUUGCAGUUGAUACUGGCGUCCUUGAGUACGGUUGAGGCAGGCGGAAUUCGUGGUGUAGCGGUGAAAUGCUUAGAUAUCACGAAGAACCCCGAUUGCGAAGGCAGCCUGCUAAACCGCCACUGACGUUGAGGCUCGAAAGUGUGGGUAUCAAACAGGAUUAGAUACCCUGGUAGUCCACACGGUAAACGAUGGAUACUCGCUGUUGGCGAUAGACUGUCAGCGGCUUAGCGAAAGCGUUAAGUAUCCCACCUGGGGAGUACGCCGGCAACGGUGAAACUCAAAGGAAUUGACGGGGGCCCGCACAAGCGGAGGAACAUGUGGUUUAAUUCGAUGAUACGCGAGGAACCUUACCCGGGCUUGAAUUGCAGACGAAUUGCUUGGAAACAGGCAAGCCGCAAGGCGUCUGUGAAGGUGCUGCAUGGUUGUCGUCAGCUCGUGCCGUGAGGUGUCGGCUUAAAUGCCAUAACGAGCGCAACCCUCGUGUCCAGUUACUAGCAGGUUAUGCUGAGGACUCUGGACAGACUGCCAUCGUAAGAUGUGAGGAAGGUGGGGAUGACGUCAAAUCAGCACGGCCCUUACGUCCGGGGCUACACACGUGUUACAAUGGGGGGUACAGCAGGCAGCUACCGGGCGACCGGAUGCCAAUCCCGAAAGCCUCUCUCAGUUCGGACUGGAGUCUGCAACCCGACUCCACGAAGCUGGAUUCGCUAGUAAUCGCGCAUCAGCCACGGCGCGGUGAAUACGUUCCCG
rnacentral:rRNA from 1 species